CGCCGCGAGCCCGCGCCCCCGCCAGCUCGGAGCGGCUUUGCUCCGCCCGACCGCUGCGCGCCCAGGAAAAUCCCCCCGCUGCCACCCGCCGCUGGCGCCCGGUGAUGUCAUUGUUUGUGGAAAUCUGCACAGCUCCGGGAAGGGAAUUACGGUGUAUUCAGAUUUCUCUAGGAAGAAGGCUUCAGAUCCCCACACUAUCAAGUCAAGGAAAAUCUCCUAUGCCAGAGAUGGGGAACAGGGCAAACCAAAGUCAUCCCUAGGAGGGACUUCUGGAUCUGUGCAUAUGGUUUGAACUACUGAAGAAGGUUUGUCCUCAUAUUGCAGUUUGGUGCAAAAGGAGUGGUGCAGAACAACACUGACAGGUUCAGUGAUAGGGAGACAUGUACAAGGAAGACCUGGCAACUUUCCUCAGCAAGAACAGAUGAAUGAAUAAGGAAAAUGAGCUUGUGCCUUUUAGCUGAGGUGAUUUGUCAAAAGCCCACAGCACUGUGGCUGUUCCCAGACUUUAAGGAUUAUGCUCAACCUCA
rnacentral:lncRNA from 1 species